rnacentral:rRNA from 1 species
GAUGAACGCUGGCGGCGUGCCUAAUACAUGCAAGUCGAGCGAACAGACGAGGAGCUUGCUCCUCUGACGUUAGCGGCGGACGGGUGAGUAACACGUGGAUAACCUACCUAUAAGACUGGGAUAACUUCGGGAAACCGGAGCUAAUACCGGAUAAUAUAUUGAACCGCAUGGUUCAAUAGUGAAAGACGGUUUUGCUGUCACUUAUAGAUGGAUCCGCGCCGCAUUAGCUAGUUGGUAAGGUAACGGCUUACCAAGGCAACGAUGCGUAGCCGACCUGAGAGGGGGGGCGGCAACAGGGGAAUAGAGACAGGCAGCAGAAUAAUACGGGAGGCGGAAGGCGGGAGUAGGCAGAAAGGGGAGGAAGUAGAAAGGAGGAGUGAAGAGUGAAGAAUGAAGGUUUAAGGAGCGGUAGACUCUGGUAGUAGUGAAGAACAAAGGGCGAAGUAACUAUGCACGGCGGGACGUGAGCGAAUAAGAAAGCAAGCGAUAAUCACGCA